rnacentral:ncRNA from 1 species
GAUGCUAGGGGUGCGAAAGCUGAGAUUGAGCGCAAGCUCUGACCCUCAUUACUUGAACCGGGUAAUACCGGCGGAAGGAAGCGAUGAUAUC